ensembl:lncRNA
CCAUCUUUUAAUUCAGUCUGUGAUGACGCCUGAACGACAUGUCCCUCCGGGAAUUUAUUAGUGUUUCCUCAAACAAACAAACAAACAGGUUUACAUUUCAUCUGCUCUUUGGGGGAACGUCUCAAAUGGCACCCUAUCCCCUAUAUUCCUAUUCCCUAUGUAGUGCCCUACUUUAGACAAGAGCCCUAUUCCCUAUGUAGUGCACUACUUUCGACCAGGGCCCUAUUCCCUAUACAGUACACUACUUUAGACCAGAGUGUCAAUGGCUUUGAAGAAGUAGUGCACUACUUUAGACCAGAGUGUCAAUGGCUUUGAUCAGAAGUAGGGCACUACUUCAGACCAGAGUGUCAAUAAGACGUAGUGCACUACUUCAGACCAGAGUGUCAAUAAGACGUAGUGCACUACUUCAGACCAGAGUGUCAAUAAGACGUAGGGCACUACUUUAGACCAGAGUGUCAACGGCUUUGAUCAGAAGUAGUGCACUACUUUAGACCAGAGUGUCAAUAAGACGUAGUGCACUACUUCAGACCAGAGUGUCAAUAAGACGUAGUGCACUACUUCAGACCAGAGUGUCAAUAAGACGUAGGGCACUACUUCAGACCAGAGUGUCAAUAAGACGUAGUGCACUACUUCAGACCAGAGUGUCAAUAAGACGUAGUGCACUACUUCAGACCAGAGUGUCAAUAAGACGUAGGGCACUACUUUAGACCAGAGUGUCAAUAAGACGUAGGGCACUACUUUAGACCAGAGUGUCAAUAAGACGUAGUGCACUACUUUAGACCAGAGUGUCAAUAAGACGUAGGGCACUACUUUAGACCAGAGUGUCAAUAAGACGUAGGGCACUACUUUAGACCAGAGUGUCAAUAAGACGUAGGGCACUACUUUAGACCAGAGUGUCAAUAAGAGUAGUGCACUACUUUAGACCAGAGUGUCAAUAAGACUUAGGCACUACUUUAGACCAGAGUGUCAAUAAGACGUAGUGCACUACUUUAGACCAGUGUCAAUAGGAAGUAGUGCACUACACAGGGAACAGGGCACCAUUUGAGACGCUCAAACCAAAACAUGAUUACACGGUGUUAAGAAAUGUAGAAAAAAACCAACACAGAAAUCCUUUUGGCAUGAGGAUAAAAGCCUUUUUAAGCCAGAGAGGAGUGUAAAGUAAGGCAGUAACUGUCCUUCAUCAAAUUAUAUUAUUACAUAAACAACAUUUUGUUAAUCUAUUGAAUCCUUUUUGGUUAGUUUGUUGUCGUUUUUCACACAGGGGCUGUUGUUGUAUAAAUAUGACCAGUAUGUGCACUUUCAAACAUUCACGUUUAUAUAAAAAAUAAACAUAAACAGUUUCACUUAGACAACAGCCACAGAAGACAUCACCAGGGAAACUGGGCUACAGUGAGAGAUGGCAGCCAUUUUGGAUCUGUUUUAAACAAGGGUCCCUCAUGUCCUUCAGGGGGUACCUAGGUUUAUGCCUGAUUGAAAAAGAGCUUAAAUUAUUUUUUACUUCAGUGAUCCUUUU